rnacentral:rRNA from 1 species
AGCGAACGCUGGCGGCAGGCCUAACACAUGCAAGUCGAACGGACCUUUCGGGGUUAGUGGCGGACGGGUGAGUAACACGUGGGAACGUGCCUUUAGGUUCGGAAUAGCUCCUGGAAACGGGUGGUAAUGCCGAAUGUGCCCUUCGGGGGAAAGAUUUAUCGCCUUUAGAGCGGCCCGCGUCUGAUUAGCUAGUUGAGUGAGGUAACGGCGCACCAAGGCGACGAUCAGUAGCUGGUCUGAGAGGAUGGUCCGCCACAUUGGGACUGAGACACGGCCCAAACUCCUACGCGAGGCAGCAGUGGGUAAUCUUGCGAAAUGGGGGAAGGCAUGACGCUGCUAUGCCGCGUGAAUGAUGUAGUUCUUAAGGUUGUAAAAUUCUUUCACCGGGGCCGAUAAUGACGGUACCCGAUGAAGAAGCCCCGGCUAACUUCGUG